GGUGUGGUGGCCGAGAGGUUAAAGGCGUCAGGCUUAAGCCCUGAUCCCGUAAGGGUUCGUGGGUUCGAACCCCACCCGCACCA
rnacentral:tRNA from 1 species